UACCCGUCUUGAAACACGGACCAAGGAGUCUAACAUGCGCGCGAGUCGUUGGGUCGGACACGCUCCGCUAAACCCAUAGGCGCAAUGAAAGUGAAGGUCGCCCUAGCGGGACCGAGGGAGGACGGAGGCUAGCCUCCCGCACUCCCGGGGCGUCUGAUUCCUCUUUUUGAGGGAAGGCGCACCCAGAGCGCACACGUUGGGACCCGAAAGAUGGUGAACUAU
rnacentral:rRNA from 1 species